rnacentral:snRNA from 1 species
AUCGCUUCUCGGCCUUUUGGCUCAGAUCAAGUGUAGUAUCUGUUCUUAUCAGUUUAAUAUCUGAUACGUCCCCAUCGGGGGACUACAUAUUAAAUGGAUUUUUCGAACAGGAGUCGGAAAUGGGGCUUGCUCCGUCCGCUCCACGCAUCGACCCGGUAUUGCAGUACCUCCGGGAAUGGUGCAACACUU